rnacentral:rRNA from 1 species
AUUGAACGCUGGCGGCAGGCUUAACACAUGCAAGUCGAGCGAGCGGCGCACGGGUGAGUAAUGUCUGGGAAACUGCCUGAUGGAGGGGGAUAACGACGGGAAAAGGUAGCUAAUACCGCAUACCAUCAGAUGUGCCCAGUUGGGAUUAGCAAGUAGGUGGGGGAAUGGCUCACCUAUGCGACGAUCCCUAGCUGGUCCGAGAUGCUGACCAUCCACAUGGGAACUGAGUCACUGUCCAGACUCCUGCGUGCGGCAGCCGUGGGAAAUAUUGCACAAUGGGCGCAAGCCUGAUGAACCCAUGCCGCGUGUGUGAAGAAUGCCUUCGGUUUGUAAAGCACUUUCAGCGAGUCGGCGUUACUCGCAGCAGAAGCACCGGCUAACUCCGUGCCAGCAGCCGCGGUAAUUC